rnacentral:rRNA from 1 species
GACAGAGGGUGCAAACGUUGCUCGGAAUUACUGGGCGUAAAGCGCGUGUAGGCGGUUCCGCAAGUCAGGUGUGAAAGCCCAGGGCUCAACCCUGGAAGUGCACUUGAUACUACGGAGCUUGAGUACUGAAGAGGAGAGCGGAAUUCCCGGUGUAGAGGUGAAAUUCGUAGAUAUCGGGAGGAACACCAGUGGCGAAGGCGGCUCUCUGGGCAGAUACUGACGCUGAGACACGAAAGUGUGGGGAGCGAACAGG